ensembl:lncRNA
AUGCUGGGGACUUCAGCUUGCCACAGAGGAUCCAAGCUAUUUGCUAAGACACAGGCUUCCCUCACGCCCUGCCCCUCGCACCUCUCUCCGGAGCCGCUCAGCACUGCGGCUCCUACCGCCGCUCCCGAAGGCGCUGUGGCGGCAUCCGCAAUUAACCGAGAGCCACUGCAGGGCUCUCAGCUGUGCCUCUCGCAGAUGCCAUUUGCCAGCUUGGCACAGGCAGCUCUGCAGCUCCUCUGCAGGCACUCUGGGGUUCGCCUCAACCGAGGCUUUGGCUCGGCUCUGGUGAUUCUCCCGCUCUCCGCGCAGGAACUGCCGAUGGCGAUUAACGUUAAACCCACCAGCAAGGGCCCGGGCGACACAGCACAAACCGCUUCGCUUCCCCGGAGCCUACUGUGGCCUCCCGAGGGACCCUGUUUUCCCCCUGCCUUUCCCGCAGGCAACGCGGCCGCAGCGGGAGGGCUCUGUGCUGGACUCGGCGGCCAUUCGCUGCCCGGGGGAUGGCGGCUGCCAUAUAGGUCCUGCAGCGCCAGCGAAGGGGAGGCGGCGCUGGAGCGGCCGCUCCGAUCCUCGCUCCCUCCGUCCGUCGGCGGGCAGCUCCCGCCAGCGAGCCGCUGGCCGGCGGCGGGACCUAUAUGCUCUCGCGGAAGGUUACCACUGCCUUGCACGGAGGCUGCCGACGGAAGCGGUGCUGAGGCUUCUGAGGCAGCACUUUGUCAAGGAGCGCCUGAUUGGCUAACGGGACUCUGCAAUGGUUAUCUGGUGCUUUAUGUAGGCUGUGUCCAAAGCCAUCAGAGUGUAUGGAAAAGGCAAUAUGGAGUAGUCUGCCAUCUUAUGGAGCCUGAAUGGUACUGCCAAAUUACAGAAUGUGGAGCUACAUGAUCAUAUUAGCUCCAAAACAGCAGGGAGAUCACAGGAAGCUCACAGGUUGCUAUAUAGAAAAUACUGUUCUGCAUCCGACUGGAUUUCACUUUGGGUCAGUAUCUUCCUACAUCUAUGGCAAGGUGAGGUUCUUGAAUGAAGUACUUGCUGCUGGUAAGAGGAAUCGGUCCAUCCCCAUGAAGGAUUGUGUCCUAAACUUUACCAGUAAAAGCUUUUCUUGGCUUUGAAGCAUGACUUGUUAAAAGGCUUCCAGAAUUAUUGUGAACCGCAGCUCCAGGUAGUAUUCAUGUACAUUUUUAGAAUUUACUCAGUUCUUGACCUUGGUGGAUUUUUGUAGCAAUAUAUUUCACCAUGGAAUUACUUAUUGAUUUGGCAAACAGUAAUCAAGCACAUUCUUCUACAAAAACAAUACAAGAUUUUAUGUACCAUUACAAAGGAGGAAACAUUACUACUCUCUUGUUUUGUCUGAGAAGCUGACAUACAGCAACCUGCCUUCAGCUGGCUGUGACUUUUAGAUCAGAUUAUCUUAAAAUGUCAUAGUGGGAUUCUGGUGUUAAUUUGCAGUAUCAACAUAUUUUAGGGUGGAUGCUUAGUGUUUUACUGAAACGUAAUGUUUUCUGGGUUUUCUAAUAAUUCAAACCAGCUUUAUCUAGUUAUUUUCAGCUUUCAUAAAUAUGUGUAUUUUUUUUACCCUCAUGCAUAAAUCAAUGAAUAUCAUUUUGUCUAACAUUUGGUUUACUUCUGUUUAGCAAUAGAAGCCUGUACAGAUGACUGCAAACCAGAACCCUCAGACCUUGGAUUUGUACGUUUGUGCUGAUUUCUUGCUUAAGGGAGCUCAGUUCAACAUGCUGUACUGCCAGAUCCAUCCCUGCAGUAAUUCUCUUGGCUUCACUGGAUGGCCACAUGGGAUUGCCUGUGCUAUCUGGCUAAGAGAAGAGAUUCUGUACAAUUCCAAAGGGAUCUGCUUGACAAUAUUAAAAAAUGAAGUCUGAAAAGCAUGCUAACUGUGUUGGGCUUUGGACAGUUCAACUGUUUUGUUCAAAGUAGAGGCCAUGAGAGCCACUUUCCAUUCAGAGAUCACAAGAAACAAUUAAAACUUUGAUUUACGUAGUGAGAAGUAGAAAAUAUUGUGCUUACUCUGGGUACUGAAUAGGUGCAGACAAUAGAAGGGCCAAGGAGCUCAGCUGAUUUUCUGACAAUUUAGAAAUAAUUUCAGAACUGAGGAAGUCAUUGGGAAGCUGCUGUAAUUCUGUCUGUGUGGCAUCAGAAAUGCUGGAAGGAAGAUUUUUAGAAUACAGCUGCCUACAAAAGGUCUGGGAACUACAGGCAAAUAAAUUGUUCCUAUUCAUGUGGAUUUCUUUGCA